UUAUUUUUACCAGUUGCUUCAAAACCACUGUGUUAAUAAAUUAGGUUAUGGAGACUUUACUGUAUCAUGGAAAAUAUCUUCGAAUUAGACACAAAUACUUCUUAAGAUGCAUUAGAGGCCAACACAGGUGUUUCCAGCAGCACCACACGUUAGCCCUCACUUUUAUUUUCUUUUUAAAGUGCUGUUUUAAUUAUCUCAAUAUGUUUUCCCUAAGAAGUAGAGCAGCUUAUGCAAUCCACCAAGUUCUGAGAUCAUACCCAAUAUGCCAGUUGUUGCAGAAGUGGGAAGCAAUCAGUAGUGGAGACAUGUAAACGUAUCCUAGUUGAACACUUGUAGAAAUACAAACAUCUUGAAUCCUUGCUAUGCCUGAGAAGGAUGGAAUAGCCAUUAAGACUGAUUUCAGGUGGUUUUGAUAGGCACAGAACAACUAAGCCUGCAUCUUCAGGGGGAAAAAAAGAAUAUUCAACUUUGCAUUUUAUUCUGAAAAGGU